UCUUAUGGACGGGAAAAGAACGUGGUUUCUUGAGAUGGAAUCUACUCCUGGUGAAGAUGCUAUGAA
rnacentral:pre_miRNA from 3 species